rnacentral:rRNA from 1 species
UACAGAGGGUGCGAGCGUUAAUCGGAAUUACUGGGCGUAAAGCGCGCGUAGGCGGCUUUUCAAGUCGAUUGUGAAAUCCCCGGGCUUAACCUGGGAACUGCAGUCGAGACUGUCUAGCUAGAGUAUGGGAGAGGGAAGUGGAAUUUCAGGUGUAGCGGUGAAAUGCGUAGAUAUCCGGCGGAACACCGGUGGUGAAGGCGGUUACCUGGAGCUUUGCUGACGCUGAUGCGCGAAAGCGUGGGGAGCGAUCCGG